CAGCAGCCGCGGUAAUACGUAGGGGGCAAACGAUGUUCGGAAUCACUGGGCGUAAAGGGUGUGUAGGCUGCUUAGAAAGUUAAAUGUGAAAUAUCAAGGCUUAACCUUGAUGCUGCAUUUAAAACUUCUAGGCUAGAGUCAUUUAUAGAGGUAGUAGGAAUUCCUGGUGUAGGAGUGAAAUCUGUAGAUAUCAGGAGGAACACCAAAGGCGAAGGCAAACUACUGGGUAAUGACUGACGCUGAGACACGAAAGCUAGGGUAGCGAAUGGGAUUAGAGACCCCAGUAGUCCUAGCCGUAAACGAUGUACACUAGUUUUAUGGUAUGGAAUACGUUUCAUAUUAUGAAAUCAAGCUAACGCAUUAAGUGUACCGCCUGGGUAGUAUGCACGCAAGUGUGAAACUCAAAGGAAUUGACGGGGGCUCGCACAAGUGGUGGAGCAUGUGGUUUAAUUCGAUGAUACGCGAAAAACCUUACCUAGGCUUAAAUGUAUAUUGACAAGUGAUGAAAGUCAUCUUUUCUUCGGAACAAUAUGCAAGGUGCUGCAUGGCUGUCGUCAGCUCGUGCCG
rnacentral:rRNA from 1 species